ensembl:lncRNA
ACACUGUCGUAUAGAAUACUAUAGGGAUGAACUGUGAUAAGGGAUUAGUGCUGAAACGUUAUGCUGGCCUUAAUUAGAUCAUGCUGAGAAUUCUGUUCGUUUUUGUUUCCGUUGUAUAUGUGCUCUUCAUUGUUAUUGUUUCAACAACACUAGAAGCAGCAUGAUCUUUUGUAGUGAAGUGGGGUAAUUUAAAGCGCAGCGUUCCUGUUUCUGAUCAAAUAAUCAUGCCUGACUUCAGCGACCAGAUUCACGAAGAAUUUUUGUGGUUAAUUGGGGGGGUUUUGUUGUCGUUUUUUUAACACUAAAAUUGUCAUCAGUGUUUCGUCAUUUAAUUGCACAAAUUUCGUCAGUGUAAAUAUGUAAUUUAUUUCCUUAAUUCAAGUUGAUUUUGUAGGCCUUUUGAACUAGCAUUCCUGUCAAUGUUGCAAUGAAGAUAGUAUGUGAAAUGUAUCAUUUUGCACUGUGUGUACCACAAUAUGAGGAAAUCCUGUGUCAGCUGGACUCCCGAUCUUCAAACGGAAGUGUGCCAAAUUCUUGCAAGACACUUGUAUGACCUCAGGGUCGUCAAAAAUGCAUGAGGAGGCUCUCGCCAAAAUGUCCAUGCUGAGCUUAAUGGCCCUUCUGGGAUAAUGUGCAGCACUGUGGUUAAACUGGUAGAGGGUUUUCCCAGCGCAGACGUGUUCCUCUCGUCAGGUGCGUCCAUCAGACUGAAGAGCGUUGUGCCGUAACUUGGCUUCCAUGUGCAGACUGUGCUUUCUCCGUACUGUCUGACAUGAAUUCCCUUUAAAACAUCUGUCCUUAUCCUAUGCUUGUUUUCUCUCUCUCUCUCUCUCUCUCUCUCUCUCUCUCUCUCUCUCUCUCUCUCUCUCUCUCUCUCUCUCUCUCUCUUCCAAAUGUUAACUGUUCAACUGGAAAUGUUUCGUUCAUUGGUCAGUCUUUGUGAAAUGAUCAUGUAAUGUCAAAUCCCAAAGAAACUAUGUUGAGAUUCAUUAUAUUAGAUAAUGAGAGAUGAUCUAAU